GGAGGGGUGGUCGAGUGGUUAAAGGCACCGGACUGUAAAUCCGGCGGGGUAACCCUACGCUGGUUCGAAUCCAGCCCCCUCCACCA
rnacentral:tRNA from 2 species